CCUACGGGUGGCAGCAGUGAGGAAUAUUGGUCAAUGGGCUUACGCCUGAACCAGCCAAGUCGCGUGAGGGAAGACUGCCCUAUGGGUUGUAAACCUCUUUUGUCAGGGAGCAAUUGGCGCUACGUGUAGCGUUCUCGAGAGUACCUGAAGAAAAAGCAUCGGCUAACUACGUGCCAGCAGCCGCGGUAAUACGUAGGGGGCAAGCGUUAUCCGGAUUUACUGGGUGUAAAGGGAGCGUAGACGGUGAGACAAGUCUGAAGUGAAAGCCCGGGGCUCAACCCCGGGACUGCUUUGGAAACUGCCUGACUGGAGUGCUGGAGAGGCAAGCGGAAUUCCUAGUGUAGCGGUGAAAUGCGUAGAUAUUAGGAAGAACACCAGUGGCGAAGGCGGCUUGCUGGACAGUAACUGACGUUGAGGCUCGAAAGCGUGGGGAGCAAACAGGAUUAGAUACCCUUGUAGUC
rnacentral:rRNA from 1 species